GACAGAGGGUGCAAACGUUUGUUCGGAAUUACUGGGGCGUAAAAGCGCGUGUAGGCGGCCAAGUAUGUCGGAUGUGAAAUCCCUCGGCUCAACCGAGGAACUGCCCUCCAAACUGCGUGGCUCGAGUCCGGGAGAGGUGAGUGGAAUUCCCAGUGUAGCGGUGAAAUGCGCAGAUAUCGGGAAGAACACCUAUGGCGAAGGCAGCUCUCUGGGGACGGUACUGACGCUGAGACGCGAAAGCGUGGGGAGCGAACAGG
rnacentral:rRNA from 1 species